CCUACGGGCGGCAGCAGUGAGGAAUAUUGGUCAAUGGACGAGAGUCUGAACCAGCCAAGUAGCGUGAAGGAUGACUGCCCUAUGGAUUGUAAACCUCUUUUGUCGGGGAGCAAAAGACGCCACGCGUGGCGUUCCGAGAGUACCCGAAGAAAAAGCAUCGGCUAACUCCGUGCCAGCAGCCGCGGUAAUACGGAGGAUGCGAGCGUUAUCCGGAUUUAUUGGGUUUAAAGGGUGCGCAGGCGGAAGAUCAAGUCAGCGGUGAAAGUCUGUGGCUCAACCAUAGAAUUGCCGUUGAAACUGGGAGGCUUGAGUAUGUUUGAGGCAGGCGGAAUGCGUGGUGUAGCGGUGAAAUGCUUAGAUAUCACGCAGAACCCCGAUUGCGAAGGCAGCCUGCCAAGCCAUGACUGACGCUGAUGCACGAAAGCGUGGGGAUCAAACAGGAUUAGAUACCCUUGUAGUC
rnacentral:rRNA from 1 species